AUGGACAUUUACUUGCCUGGAGUAGGAAUGAUUUCCAGUUGCCUGUCUACCAAAAGGCAUAAGACUCCAGACAUAGCUUUCACUGAACUCUCCUUGCCUAGAAGGUCAGAACAAGCUGAUAUUCAUGCCUUGCCAGCUGGAUCUCCCUUGCUUCUUCCAGGAGAGAGGGGGUUGAAAGAACCAACAGGAGCUGAGAAGCGUUAUACACGAAGGAGGAAAAGCAACAAAGAGCUUGAAGACUUUCAUGGCUCCCAGGCCCUGGAUGGAGGCAGGCGGCCUCAGACGGACAGAACCAGGGAGAUGCCUGUGGCUGCAGAGCCCAGACUUGUCUUGGAAAAGAUGGAGAAGAGCCAGUCAACUUGGCUUCCUUGCUUCUGCUCAUCCCCAUCAGCAGAGAGAAAUAAUGAGUCCCGAAACAUUUCAGAAUCAAAAAGUUAAAAUGAUGUUUCAAUGAUGCUACAUCGUGCCAGACGCAGGCUAAUGGUUUGAAGAUGUUGGCCUAGCAAGAUGGCAACGAGUUUAAAAAAUAGGAUUCCUAAGAAGUUACUUUUUUCAG
rnacentral:lncRNA from 1 species